CCCCCAUCCUGUGACAGCCCCGCAUCCUGUGACAGCCCCCACCCUGUGACAGCCCCCAUCCUGUGACAGCCCCGCAUCCUAUGACAACUGUCAUUCUGAGACAGCCCCACAUCCUGUGACAGCCCCUCCACCCUGUGACAGCCCUCACCCUGUGACAGCCUCCAUUCUGUGAUGGCCUAUAUCCUGUGACAGUUCCCUCAUCCUGUGACAGCUUCCACCUUGUGACAACUCCCAUCCUGUCACAACCCCCCAUCCUACAACAGCCCCACAUCCUGUGAAAGUCCCCCACUCUGUGACAGGCCCAUCCUGUGACCACCCCCACCCCGUGACAGCCCCCAUCCUGUGACAGCACCCCUACCCUGUGACAGCCCCCCCAUGACAACCUCCCUCCUGUGACAGUCCUGAGGCCCCUGCAGCUCUCAGUGUGUUUGUCCCCCUGGUGUGCAAGAUCUGACUUGUCCAUGUCCUGUCCACGUCCCUGCAAGGGCGCUGAGAGGGCCACCGAGAGCCCUGGAUCCUCUGUUCUCCCAUGGCCGCCUGCAGCUGCCGGCCUGUGAAGCCUCAGCCACCGAUCAUAAAGCUAAGAACUUACUGAAAACCUCUUCCUCUGUUGUGGCCUUGGCUAUGUUUUGUUUCUUUCCCGAGGUUUAUGUUUUCCACCUAAAUUUUCAUUUUGUUCGGUAAACCAAGUGGCGGCCUCCGCAGCACCCCCGUUUCAGAGAGGGCAGGGCCAGGUUAUGGGGUGGGGUUUAGGUUCACCGUGUGUUAUUUUAACAGGUGUGUCUAGCGUUCCUGAAUCCAGCCAUGGAGUCAGUCUCCAUCCGCCCAUUCUACAGAUUGCAGCCAAAGAACAACCCCAGCAGUGGGACGGCAUCCUGACUUGUCAUCACCAGGAGCAGGAGUCGGGGUGUUACCCCAACCCCUUUCUGGGUUUUGGACCACCUGGCAGAGGUGGCCGGAGAGUUUCGGCGACGUCACAGAGAAGGAGGCAGGAUGGAGACAGGACAUCAGGGGUGCUGGGGGCUGCAGGAGGUAGCUGAGCAGGCAGGUGCAGGAUUCUCAGGGCGGUGGACUGCUCUGUACGGGACUGCAACGGAGGACACAGGUCAUUACACGUUUGUGCAGCACCGAGAGUGACCCUGAUGUGCACUGUGGGCUCCGGGUGACGAUGACAUGUCCAUGCAGGUUCACAGAUUGGGACAAAUGCACCCUCUGGUUGUCAACAGCGAGGAAGGCUGUGCAUGUGUUGGGGGAGAGGGUCUGGGGCAAUCUCUGUACCUUCCUCUCACUUUUGCUGUCAACCUUAAACUGCCCUCAACGAUAGCCUAUUACAAACAAAGAGAAGGAGCGACCAACGAGACUGAGCCUCGGGUAGGCUAAUUGCCCACACGCUGAGCGGACGUGAGCCUACGCCUGCCCCCUAGGGUGGGGCCUGGCAGGGGGCGCCAGCCCCCCACCCCCACCCUGCAGCAGGGGGCCUGGAAGGGGCUGCCCUCCCACAGAGAGGGCUGCCCCGGAGCCUCUGCCCUGGGGAAGCGGGCACUUCCGGGCCUCUCUCAGCAAUCCUGUCACCCAGACGCCCGGACUGCCGACACCUCAAAACCGGGAACAGAGCUUGCUCCUGCCUGAGGAAAGGGUGUCACCCGCUGAGACCCUGCACCGCUCAGUGGCCCUUUGUCUCCCUCCAGCCCAGACAAUGGCACUGCCCACCCCAGGCCUGUCCCCCGUCCACAGGUACUAGGCACAAGGGUUGAUGUCCUCUGAGCACCUUCCCCGGGAUGGGUCCCCUUGUCACCCUCGCUGGAGCACGUGGGGCCCAGAGAGUGAAGGGUCCGGGGUUUCCAUCCUGAAGCGGCCUCUGCAGCGACACACCCACUUAGAGCUCUUGUCCACAGACUCCAUGUUCCCUCCAACUCGUGAAUCCAACAGCCGGGGAGGCGCUCACAUAGUCUCCUCUAGAGGACUGGGGGGCAGGCGCAGGACGAGAGGUCCGAGGGUGGGUGCCUUUCGGGUCCGGACGGCCGGGUGCUGCACGAACGCGCGGGCCAGCCCUUCUGCAGAGGGUCCUGAGGCCGGCGGGACGGGCGACUGCGGCGGGCGGUCUUCAUCAGCCGCCUGCCAGGCUCCCCGUGGAGCUGAGCAAACCGCAGCUCGAGACCCGGCCCAGCACUGUGACGCUGCCCGGGCAGGGUGUUCCCUCCGGGCCCGUCAGCACCGGCAGCGCGAGGACCCACCCCUCCUGCGGCGCGUGCCAGAACAGAUGCCAUUCUCACAGGGAACGGAGGAUCCUCCAGCGGCCUUUGCUGCCUCCAGGGAAGCAAGUGUCACUCUGCAAGGCUUCUCCAGGGCCUUCACUUGUCCCUUUCCUGGAGCAUUAGAUGCACCUGUCCUGAUGCAGAUGCUGAUACAGGAAAAAUGGGCCACGAGAGGACAGUCAUGUCCCCAGGUCUCAGUCGAGUCCCUGGGAGGGACCCCAACAAGUGAGGGUCCUUGGCUUCGCACAGGAAAGAAUUCAAGAGUGAGCCACAGGUUUAUUCAGAGAGAGGCACACUCCAUGGACAGAGUGGGCCGUCUCUGCAGGUGGGGACAAGGGGUGGAGGCCCCAGAGCACGGGGUCAUCUAGAAAAGUGAGGGCGGCCAUGAGGUGCGGGGCUGUCAGUUUUUAUGGGCUUGGUAACUUCAUGUGCUAACAAGUGGGAGGGUUAUUCUAACGGCUUUGGGGACGGGGUGGGGAGUCCCAGGAACUGGGCCACCACCCACUUUUUGACCUUUUAUGGCAGCCUGGGACCCGUCAUGGUGCCUGUGGGCGAGCCAUUGAGCUGCUGGUGUAUAACAACGCGCGUACAGUGAAGCUCACGGUCACUGCAGGCACAUCUCCCGCCAUCCCGGUGCUAAUCAACGUGUCAUUCUUUUAA